rnacentral:rRNA from 1 species
CACCGGCAGCUCUAGUGGUAGCAGUUUUUAUUGGGCCCUAAAGCGUCCGUAGCCGGUUUAAUAAGUCUCUGGUGAAAUCCUGCAGCUUAACUGUGGGAAUUGCUGGAGAUACUAUUAGACUUGAGACCGGGAGAGGUUAGAGGUACUCCCAGGGUAGAGGUGAAAUUCUGUAAUCCUGGGAGGACCGCCUGUUGCGAAGGCGUCUAACUGGAACGGUUCUGACGGUGAGGGACGAAAGUUAGGGGCGCGAACCGGAUUAGAUACCCCUGUAGUCCCUGAGCGGGCUGGCAA